CAGUAGCCGCGGUAAUACGUAGGGUGCAAGCGUUAAUCGGAAUUACUGGGCGUAAAGCGUGCGCAGGCGGUUUUGUAAGACAGAGGUGAAAUCCCCGGGCUCAACCUGGGAACUGCCUUUGUGACUGCAAGGCUAGAGUACGGCAGAGGGGGAUGGAAUUCCGCGUGUAGCAGUGAAAUGCGUAGAUAUGCGGAGGAACACCGAUGGCGAAGGCAAUCCCCUGGGCCUGUACUGACGCUCAUGCACGAAAGCGUGGGGAGCAAACAGGAUUAGAGACCCCCGUAGUCCCUGUCUCUUAUAC
rnacentral:rRNA from 1 species